CCUACGGGAGGCAGCAGUCGAGAAUCAUUCACAAUGGGGGAAACCCUGAUGGUGCGACGCCGCGUGGGGGAAUGAAGGUCUUCGGAUUGUAAACCCCUGUCAUGUGGGAGCAAAUUAAAAAGAUAGUACCACAAGAGGAAGAGACGGAUAACUCUGUGCCAGCAGCCGCGGUAAUACAGAGGUCUCAAGCGUUGUUCGGAAUCACUGGGCGUAAAGCGUGCGGAGGCUGUUUCGUAAGUCGGGUGUGAAAGGCGCGGGCUCAACCCGCGGACGGCACAUGAUACUGCGAGACUAGAGUGAUGGAGGGGGAACCGGAAUUCUCGGUGUAGCAGUGAAAUGCGUAGAUAUCGAGAGGAACACUCGUGGCGAAGGCGGGUUCCUGGACAGUAACUGACGCUGAGGCACGAAGGCCAGGGGAGCGAAAGGGAUUAGAUACCCCUGUAGUC
rnacentral:rRNA from 1 species